ACGGAGGGAGCUAGCGUUGUUCGGAAUUACUGGGCGUAAAGCGCACGUAGGCGGCUUUGUAAGUCAGAGGUGAAAGCCUGGAGCUCAACUCCAGAACUGCCUUUGAGACUGCAUCGCUUGAAUCCAGGAGAGGUGAGUGGAAUUCCGAGUGGGGGGGUGGAAGGCGUGGUAAUUCGGAAGAACACCAGUGGCGGGGGCGGCAAACUGGAAUAGUAUUGACACUGAGGUGCGUAAGCGUCUCGAGCAAAAAG
rnacentral:rRNA from 1 species